UUAAAACUCCUCACAGUAUGAUAUUUUCCUUUAAAUAUUAGUGCUAACUAAAACUAGUUGUGGUGUUGUAGGUUUAUGGAUACACAUUACCUAAACUCAGAAAAUGUGUAAGAUUGCAAAGAUCAAUGAAUGGAAUCGAAAGGCAAUUGGUUCGUGGAAAUAGAAAGCAAUUGAAAAGGCAGUUGUAUAAUUUUAGCAGUGUUAUAAUAAUAGAUUGAAGUCAACAAAGUAUCACAAAUUUUUGUAUAUAUAUGAGUGGUUUAAUUCUUUUGGAUGAGAUAGGUUCAUUUUACUUCAUGGAAAUGAACGCUAGAAUCUACGUUACUUAAAUGAUUGUUUUUUAAUAGAAAAAACAAACACUAUCCCAACCUAUGCAAAGCAUGGGUACCUAUACUAGUUUGUAAAAAACUAGCAUGCCUUGUAAACAGUAGAUGAAACUGGAUGUCUUUUGUCUUAUAACACUAACCCAUUCUGAAACGUUAAAUAGGGUUCUCUUUUGAUUUUGUAAAAUGGGUUUUGUUGAAUUGGAGUUUUGGGUUUGGUUAAGGAGAUAACUUCUUAAUUCUAGAUUGUAUAUAUGUUAUGUUUUCUUGUUUUUGCAAGUUAAAACAUGGAUGUGAAGACCAUCUCAAAGCAAAAUCAAAUCAUUCAAAGGUAUGCAUUUCUAUAACUUUGUAUAAGAAAUCAGUUAUAUAUAUAUAUAUAUAUAUAUAUAGUUUUAGGUCUUUUUUCGGAGUAUGUUCUAAUCUACCUCAAGUGAAUUUUCUCUUACAUAAUCAUGUUUAUGUUCUGUUAGGUCGUCUUCAUUUACGUGAUCCAAAUUCAAUGAAAAUGGAUGGGGUGACUGAAGGUAAUCUGAAACUGGUAAUGGAGGUUCAAACUGUUGCACCGGGGGAGGGCGAGAGGUGAUAUUUGUACAUACAUAUGACCUCUUGUUGGUUGCCGAUAACCUGUUUGUUGAAAUGCCUCAAAGAAAUAUCUUAUUUAGGAACUCAUUCAUUUGUGGAUGUGAUCUUAUUAUUUGCAAUUUCAAUUUCAAAGAAAUACUAACACUGCCUUCACGCGUGUAAGUAAAAUCAAUCAACUUUGUUAUUUAAUAAAUUCCAGAUUUCUU
rnacentral:lncRNA from 1 species